rnacentral:rRNA from 1 species
AAUGGGCGAGAGCCUGAACCAGCCAAGUCGCGUGAAGGAAGAAGGAUCUAUGGUUCGUAAACUUCUUUUUUAGGGGAAUAAAGUGCGGUACGUGUACCGUUUUGUAUGUACCCUACGAAUAAGGAUCGGCUAACUCCGUGCCAGCAGCCGCGGUAAUACGGAGGAUCCGAGCGUUAUCCGGAUUUAUUGGGUUUAAAGGGUGCGUAGGCGGAAGAAUAAGUCAGUGGUGAAAGUUUGCAGCUCAACUGUAAAAUUGCCGUUGAAACUGUUUUUCUUGAGUGUAAAUGAGGUAGGCGGAAUGUGUUGUGUAGCGGUGAAAUGCUUAGAUAUGACACAGAACACCGAUUGCGAAGGCAGCUUACUAAGAUACAACUGACGCUGAGGCACGAAAGCGUGGGGAUCGAA